UCAAGCUGUUUUGCCUUGCCAAGCGGCAAU
rnacentral:sRNA from 1 species